rnacentral:lncRNA from 1 species
CUGAGUCACAGCCAGUCACAGCCAGCCGAAGCCAAAACAGGAUGAGAGCCCACGUCUGCCCGAUUCCAGAACCCGUGGCCUUCCCUUGCACCUACCGUCUCCUUUCUGGACAUCCCGCAUGUGACCGUGGCCGCUGGUCACAGCUCAGUUUUCUGACCAUGUCUCUGCUACAGCCUGCCUUCUGUUGGCCCUACAGAAAUUCAAACCAAGUCUUCCAGAAGAAACAGCUACCAAAAACAACUGCAUUUUUUAAAAAAGAUUUUAUUUAUUUAUUUAACAGAGAGAGAUCACAAGUAGGCAGAGAGGCAGGCAGAGAGAGAGGAAGGGAAGCAGGCUCCCCUCUGAGCAGAGAGCCUGACGCGGGGCUCAAUCCCAGGACCCUGAGAUCAUGACCCGAGCUGAAGGCAGAGGUUUUAACCCACUGAGCCACCCAGACGCCCCGACAGUUACAUUAAAAAAAAAAUUACAUAGCUGUGGGGCACGGGUGGGUUUGGCCCCCAUCAUUUUGCACUUGAGGAAACUGAAUGGGGACAGGCAAAGACCUGCCUCCGGAUAGUAGUGGCCCAGGUUCUCCCAACUCCCAGUCACCCACCAGUGCCCUUUUGCCCGAAAGCUCUGCCCCUUGCAGGGAACUGGAAAACAAACAAAAAUAACACUCUGCCUCCAGGGCUUAUGAAUGUCCCUGCUAGAGAGGAGAAGAUAGAGUGAGGGUGGGUUAGGGUUGGAGUUAGGGUUAUCUGGCAAUCUGGUCAGCACCAGAUUCAUAUCAAAAAUGAGGGAAGCCAUGGUUAUUCCAUAACAACGUCCUCUCGAGGCCAACAGGCAGACCUCCACGGGCCUCAGGCACUGCGUGAGUGUGUGGAGUGUGGGCAGGGAGAAUAUCACGGCCGUAUUUUUGAGUCUUUCUGAAAAGGUUAGGUCUAGUCACUUAGCUGUGCAUGGAAAGAGACUUAGGAAACAAUGAAAGAAAGAGCCGCCCUAACUCUGAUGGAGGAGUUUCUCAAUGUGGGGCAUCAGCUUGUCUGGUGAGAGCAGCUGUCCUCAAAGGGAAGAUGAAACAGAUUUUGCUCAAUGACACACUAUGGACAUAACUGUCCAAGUGUCUCAAAGUGCUCAGAGGAGCAUCAGGGACACAUAAAAUUACCUUUAAAGGGAAUAGAAGAUUCUGAGUCAGGACCAGUGUCAGGUGUGAAACAGGAAACCCACAGCCCGGAGCUGUUCUAGCUGAUCCUUCCGCAGAUAAAACCGAGUGGCUUAACGCCCUGAUCUUAGGCAGCCAUUAGAGCUUCAGCCCAAACCCCACGAGGAAGAAAA